GAUGAACGCUGGCGGCGUGCCUAAUACAUGCAAGUCGAGCGAACAGAUAAGGAGCUUGCUCCUUUGACGUUAGCGGCGGACGGGUGAGUAACACGUGGGUAACCUACCUAUAAGACUGGGAUAACUUCGGGAAACCGGAGCUAAUACCGGAUAACAUUUGGAACCGCAUGGUUCUAAAGUGAAAGAUGGUUUUGCUAUCACUUAUAGAUGGACCCGCGCCGUAUUAGCUAGUUGGUAAGGUAACGGCUUACCAAGGCAACGAUACGUAGCCGACCGGAGAGGGUGAUCGGCCACACUGGAACUGAGACACGGUCCAGACUCCUACGGGAGGCAGCAGUAGGGAAUCUUCCGCAAUGGGCGAAAGCCUGACGGAGCAACGCCGCGUGAGUGAUGAAGGGUUUCGGCUCGUAAAACUCUGUUAUUAGGGAAGAACAAACGUGUAAGUAACUGUGCACGUCUUGACGGUACCUAAUCAGAAAGCCACGGCUAACUACGUG
rnacentral:rRNA from 1 species